UUUGCCAAUAGUUUGUAAUGGUGAUCAAACAUGGCAAGAACAACUGGUAUCUCAGGAAUCACAUAAAUUUCAAUCCUUAUGUGAUAUAGACAGGAGGCCCAGGUGGUGAAGGGCAAUGAAAGAAGCUGAGAAGACCAGGCAUGUGAGUAUGUUUUCAGCUGAUGACAACCAGUUUGAAGACCCCCAAAAGAAGAACCAAACUGCAUGAGAAUUCAGUUUCUUCAUCUCCCUACCCCAUGAUUUCACCUUGUUCUCUCUGACCAAUAACCAUCUCCCCACUUUGGCCCUCUCCAAAACCCUUAAAAAUUCUAAGCCCAAACUCCCCAGGGAGACAGAUUUGAGGUUUCCUCCCAUCUCCUCAUUCAAUGGCUCUGCAAUUAAACCUGUUUCUCUGCCGCAGCCUGGUAUCUCAGCAUAUUGACUUGCCACGUGCAUCAAGCAACAAACCUUUUACUGUUAUACUACUCAAAAUAUGCCUCUUUGGAAUGAGGACUAUUUUGAGCUGGUUAUUUAGAGAAACUGCAGAC
rnacentral:lncRNA from 1 species